AGCUCGCUAACAGUGGGUGUCUUCGCCCGUGUGGUUCUUUCUGGAACGUUUUCCAGCUCCAACCACCCCUUAUGGCGUAUUUCUUUAAGAAAACUCACCCAAAUUCCAUAAAAUAUCUUAACAAUUCUAAACUUUCUUCGAGUGUUUUCUUGACACCUCCUCCCUAUUUUUCAGGUAUUUGGGAUGUUUUUAGGCAAUUUUCCAUUUUAAAAGAAUUUUUCAUUGGAAUGAUUUUUGGUUGAUGCCUCUGUUUUUUCGUGGUUUGCUUUUCUUUUUCCUUCUUUUUUCUAUAUUUUGCCCAUCGGGGCUGCGGAUACCGGGUUUUAUUAUUAUUAUUAUUAUUCUUGCCCAACGGGGCUGUGGAUACCUGCCUUUUAAUUCUUUUUUUGUUUGUUUUUAAAUUUGCCCAUCGGGGCCACGGAUACCUGCUUUUAUUUUUUUCCCCUUAGCCCAUCGGGGCCUCGGAUACCUGCUAUGCCCCCCCCCCCCAACUCCCUGGCCCAUCGGGGCAAUGGAUACCUGCUUAAAAAAAUUACUUUUGGCCCAUCGGGGCUUCGGAUACCUGCUUUUAUUUUUUUUUUUCCUUUGCCCAUCGGGGCCUCGGAUACCUGCUUUAAUUUUUUUUUCCUUGCCCAUCGGGGCUGUGGAUACCUGUUUAGAUUUUUUUUUUCUCAUUGCCCAUCGGGGCCUUUUAUGGAUGGAAGUGUUGUUUUUUGUGGUUCGUUGAGCUAUCUGGAAUGUCUGCAAAUUUAUGCUGCUAAUCGUUUGGUGUUGUGUGAGUGGACCUACGGCUUUGGCUGGGAGAUGACUUUGCAGUUAGGCUAAGGGGUUAGGUAGGCUGGGGAGGAAAGAUGGCGGCCACUUUAGCUGGUCGGCUGAGAGCUAGUUGUUUGUGCCAACUAUAAAUUAGGGAACUAAUAUGGAUAACGGGACAGGCAGAGGCAGUUAUAUGUGUUGCAUUAGCUAAAUGUUUUGAAUGAGCUGAUUUGGGGGCUUGUUAGAAGCUUUGCGUGAACCAUGGUAUCAUGAGGUAGAAAAACAGUAUGGUCUUGUGUCAUGUUGCAAGAGGCUGGUCGAAAAUAAUAGGGAGAAGACUUAGGCACAGGGUUCAAAAUGGCGGUUUUGGGUUUGCGGCAUUGCUCAGCAUGGCUCUCUGCUUUGUUAGGGUGUCCAAAAUGGCGGACCCAAUUUUGCCGCAGUGUUCAUGUGGCGGGAAGGCCACAUCAUGGUGGUGUCUUUGUUCUGGUGCACAGCAUGGCGGUGCAAAUAUUCUGUUACAUAGUAAAAGAUGGCGGCUGGAGUACUUGCCGCAGUGUAAAACAUGGCGGGCUUUUGUCUUGCCGUGUGCAUUUCCUGACAGGUUUUGCCGCAGGGACAAUAUGGCAGACCUUGUCAUUUGGAUAUCAUGGCAGUUUGUCACGUGGACGUCAUGGCGGGGAUUUUUGCCGGGUACAUUCUUGGCGGGCUUUGCACCAGGUGGGCCUGCCGCAUUGUUAAAGAUGGCGGGCAUUGUCGUGUUUGCCGCGAAAAGUGAGAGAAAGGUGGGAUGGACAAUGUUGGAUUGCCGCAUGACCCACCCAAUCAGAAAGGGUGGUAGAAUUGGGCAUAGCCAAUUACUGGAGGAUGGAAUUAGACUGUGUGAGUUAGCAUAGCACCACACAGCCGUCUUUAUUCAGCCAGUCAGGAGGAAGCAGAGGAGCCAUGUUUGUACGUCUUCUCCCAGUGGGUGGUACCCAAGGUCUUUCCAAGGACACUUGUCUUUACCACUUCCCUCCCCUCUCACUUGCUCCCUCCCCUCUAAUUUGCUCCCUCCCCUCUAAUUUGCUCCCUCCCCUCCAGCUUCUCGCAGUGUUGGAUAUUUGGCUAUGGGCUGAACCUUAACCCCCAUUUCUCUGCAUUGGUGCCAUGGCCUAAGGCUAGUCUGCCCCCCACCCCCGCCCUUGCUCUUCUGCAAUAUGGCUAGGGGCAGUGCUCCAUGCCUGCCAGGUGUGAACCUGGUGGUGAGUCCUGGCAAGAACCAAAAUGGAUCACGAUGAUCCUUGGCCAACAGGUGGCAGAAGAGGAAUCUCUACCUUCCUCAAGAGGAACACCUACCCCGUGGCUAAUGCUGGGGUCGGAUUUUGAUUAUAUUUAUUUCUUGGGUGUCAGUCUUACAUGGUUUGAUUAUGUAGUAUGCUAGUAUUGGUUUUAAGCUUUAAGUGACUAUUCUGGGAAUGUAUUUAGGAGCUUAUUUGUAGAAUUCAAUUACAUUUAAUGAGUUUUCAUUUUUGGUUUCCUUAAAAUUACUUAAAGUUUUCAAUUUCUUCUUUAUAAAUUGCUUAAACAUUUUUUGGGCUUUAGAUAUUCAAAGUCAAACUGGCAUUUAAAAACUUUUUACUAUUUUUUAACUUUCAAAUUGACCUAAUAAACUACUUCCUUUUGGAUUUUUGAAGUCUUAGGACACAGAAAUAAUUAAAAUUUUAACUUGAUCAAAUGUAAUAAGGAAUAUUUGAAGGCCCACUCCAGUCCAGGCCUUGCUUUGUUCCCAUCUUGAAGGCUGCACUAAUUAAUAACUUCUCUAUCAGGAAACUUGACUUGCUGUGGUCUUGUUCCUCUAGUCAAAGAUUACUGAUUGUCAACUGCCCACAAUUUCAAUUUUCCGUGGUGCCUGGCCUCCACAGUUCCCGGAUCCUCCCCAGCCCUGCUCCCAGCAACCCCCGCCCCGACCUCUAGCACCAGCGCUUCCCAUUACUGAUUGUCAACUGCCCACAAUUUCAAUUUUCCGUGGUGCCUGGCCUCCACAGUCCCCAGAUCCUCCCCAGCCCUGCUCCCAGCAAUGCCCCCACAUCUAGCACCACCCCUUCCCCUGCCUUGUGUCCAGCCCUGCCCCAGCCCAGCCUUACUGCUAGUUGCCCAGUACUAGCCCCAUCUGCCCAGUCCUAGCCCCAGCCCCGGCCCGGCCCAGCCCCGGCCCCAGCCCCAGCCCCGGCCCCCGCCCCGGCCCCGGCCCCGGCCCACCCAGCCCCAGCCCCAGCCCCAGCCCUCACCCCUAACCCUAAAGUUAUUCCAAUUGGCAUUGAUUUGGUGCUAAAAAUAAUUUAUCCAUUGCUCAUCCAUAAGACUGAAUACCCUCUUUCCCUCUAGCAUUGCUGAUUUUAUGAGUUGACUACCUGAGUCCUCAUUUUUAAUGUACACAAUUACAUUUGUCCACUAUCCCAUGUUAGAACAAACAAUCCAUGUACCUUUGUGUUAAUGUUAGAAAGUGUUAGUUGAGAGUUUUAUAUCAGACACCCAUUGUUCAUAAUUUUGGUUAUUCAUCAUCUCUCCCCUGCCUUUGAGGAAGGAGAAACCAUUCCUCUGUCAUUGCUGCAGUAACCCCAGCCCCAGUUCUCUGGGCAGUGUUCAUAUAUUGUGCUGAUCACCUGAAGACUACACUGAGUGAAAUUUUAAUUGUCCAUAAUCCCACCUAUUGGCUAAGAUCACAGUCCUAAACCCUUUUGCUGAAUUCAGGAGUGGCUGCAGAAAACAUGAGUCUUUAAACAGUUAACAUGCUCAUCCCAGUUGCAUCAGCCUUGUUUAGUAAACAAAGGCACCCUACCAUGUUUGUCCUGCUUCUGGGAUUAAAGUACCAGUUUUAAAUUGUACAUUGUCUUGUCCAGUGAUCAGUGACCCUCAGUCUCCUUGGCACUGCUACUAGGAAGUGCUAACUACCUGGGACCAUGUUCCUUGAUUUAUUAAUGAGUGUAACCCCAAUUGUCCAUACCCCUGUUCAUUACACAAGUCCUUUGCAACUUCUUUGCAUUAUGGCAGAGGUGCUCAUCCUCAAAGUCCUUUACUUUGGGAUAUUAAUGAGUACAAUCAUUAUUGUUCAUGGUCCUGCCUAAAAGACCCACUCAUGCUCUUUUCAUUACUCCUAGGUAGUACAGACUACUUAUCACUUUGCAUUAAUAUGUAAAAUCCUCAUUUCCCAUGGUUCCACCAGUUAAUCUGGGAUAUAACCUUAUCUUUAUGCCAUAGCUUAUGAGUUCUGAUUACCCAAGGUCACUUCUCUUAAACAGUUGAUGUCCAUAAUUGCAUAUGUCCAUGGUGCUGUGCAAUAAAAAAUGGAAUCCCACCUCAUUCUAACCUCUCUGGGAUAUUGUUAGGGAGUGCAGAUUAUUCAGAAACUCAGUUCUUGGACAGUUAAUUUACACAGUUGCAGUUGUGCAGAGUCCUGUCCAUUUGAAAGGGCCACUGUAUCCCAUUUGCAUACUAUAAUGUGGGCUGAUCACUCAAGUAUCCUCUUGAAUUGAUAAUUUUCAAAUUGCAUUGGCACACGGUCUGUGAACUAGCCACACCCACUCCCUUUGUAAUUUAGCAGGGGACCUUUACUACUCAGGAGCUAUACACUUAGGACAGUAUAUGUAUACACUAUUAAUUGAUUAGACUGUGUUUUUUGUAUCAGGAACCCUGCACCAUCUUUACAUCUUAAAAGGUGUUAAUUACCUAAGGCUCUUACCUUAAAAUUGUUCAUGUGCAAAAUUGUGAUCUCCAAUGUCUCCUAUUGUUAACCUAGAAUUCCAUUCCCACCUAACUCCUUUUGGAUUACUGCAGAGGCUACUUGGGCCUUUUAAGGUGCUUAAGGCAGUUAUGGUCAGUUCUGUUAGUCUAUGUUCCCAUCCCCUCUUACUUUGCAUUACUGCACUGAAUACUUGUAAAUGUUAAUGUUCUUAAUUGCAGCUAUUAUUCUUUCUGUUAGUCUAGGAUCCUAUCUCCUCCUCCUCAUUUUGCAUUAGCAGAAAGGGUACAUGGGACCGUUAAAGUGCUUAAAUGCAGCUCUGUCCCUUAAGUUAGUGUGGGAUUUCAUUCUCUUCAACUCCCUAUGCAUUACAGGAGAGUAGUUGGGAUCUUUAAGGUCCUCAAAGGCAGCUAUGGUGCCUUAUGUUAGUCUGGGAACCCAUCCCCUCCUACUUCCUUUGCAUUUCUACAGAGGAUACUUGGGACUGUAGUGUGCAUAAUUGCUGUCAGAGUCCUUUCAGUUUGUCCAGGAUCCCAAUCCCCUCCCUCUUACUGAGUUUGAAUUACAGAGUACAAGGGACUGUUAAUGUGCUUAAAUGGCAGCGAAGGUCUCCUCUGUUAACCUAGGAUCCCUUCCCUAUCUAAAUCUCUUUGCAUUAUUCUCGAGGGUACCUGGGACUGUUGAUGUGCAUAAUUGCAGUUUAGGUCCCUUCUGUUAGAUCCUGUCCCCACCUACUCUGUUUGCAUUAUCAUGAAGGGUACAAUGGGACUAUUAAUGAGCUUAAUUGCAGCUAUAGUUCCUUCUGUUAAUCUAGUUUCCCAGGCACUCCUACUUCCUUUGCGUUACAGCAGAGGGUACUUGAGACCUUUAAGGUGCUUAAAUGCAGCUGUGGCCUCUUCUGUUAAUGUUCCUAUGCCCUCUUAACUUUGCAUUACUGCAGAGGCUACUUAGGACUGUUAACGUGCCCACUUGCCACUAUAGUCCCUUCUGUUUGUCUGCGAUCCCAUCCCCUCCUACAGCAUUUGCAUUAUCACAGAAGGCAAGAGAGACUGUUACUGUACUUAAAGGCCGCUAUGGUUUCUUCUCUUGACCUGGGUUCCAAUUCCUAUCUAAAACUUCCUUUGAAUUACUGCAAAGGAUACUUGGGACUGUUAAUGUCCUCUAAGGCAGCUAUGGUUCCUUACAUCACUGUAUGGUUCCAUUCUUUAUAACUCCCUGUGCAUUACUUGAGACCUCUAAGGUGUUUGAUUACAGCUAUGGUCCCUUCUAUUAGUCUAGAUUCUCCUAUCCUCCAACUCCCUUUGUAUUCCCUAGGAUUGUUUUUGGGACUGUUAAAAGUGCUUAGUUGCAACUGUGGUCUCUUUUGUUAGUCUGGGAUCCCCUGCCUUCCAACUCCUGCACACAGCAGAGGCUACUUGGAACUAUUAAUACGUUUGAUUUUAGCUGUGGUCCCUUCCCUAGGGACCCCCUUCCCUUCUAUUCACUUUGCAUUAGAAUGACAGUGUACGUGGAACUGUUAAUGUGCUUAAAUGUAGCUCUGUUUCUUAUGUUAAUAUAGGAUUCCAUCCUCUAUAGCUCCCUCUGCAUUAUAGCAGAGGGUACUUGCCACCUUUAAGGUGCUUAAAUGUAGCUGUGGUGCCAUCUUAGUCUAGGAUCCCAUUCUCCUUCUACUCCCUUUAUAUUACAUGGCAGGGCAUUUGGGACUGUUUAUUUGCUUAACUGUAGUUACAGUCCCUUCUGUUAGUCUAGGAUCCUAUGCCCUACGACUUACUUUGUUUUAGAACAGAUGGUAUUUGGGACUGUUGAUGAGCUUACUUGCAGCCCUUGUCCCUUCUGUUAACCUAGUUUCCCCAUGCACUCUUAAUUCCUUUCAUUUCAGCAGAGGGUACUUGAGACCUUUAAGGUGCUUAAGUGCAGAUAUGGCCCCUUCUGUUUCUGUUCCCAUCUCCUACUUCCUUUGCAUUUCUGCAGAGGCUGCUUGGGACUGUUAAUGUGCCUACAUGCUACUACAGUCCUUUCUGUUUGUCUAGAUUCUUAUCCUCUCCUGCAUGGUUUGCAUUACCAAAGAGAGUACAAGGGACUAGUAAGGUGCUUAAAUGCAGCUGUUGUUUUUUCUGUUAACUUAGGUUCCCAUCCCGACCUAAUUUUCUUUGCAUUUUGCAGAGGGUACUUGAAUCUGUCAAUGAACUUAUCAUAGCAGUGGUCCCUUCCGUUAGACUAGGAACCCAUCCCCACAUACUCCCUUUACAUUAUCAUGGAGGGUACAUGGGACUGUUAAUGUACUUAAAUGCAUCCACAGACCCUUAUGUUAAUGUAGAAUUCCAUCCUUCCCAAUGCCUUAUGCAUUACAGUAGUUUUAACCUUCAAGGUGCUAAAUGCACCUCUGGUCCCUUCUGUUAGUAUAUGUUCCCAUCAUCUCCUACUUUGCAUUAACUUAGAGGAUACUUGGGACUGUUAGUGUGCCUAAAAUUUGCCACAAUCCCUUCUGUUAGUCUAGGAUCCCAUUCCGUUCCACACUGUGCAUUACCACAGAGGGUACAAGGGAUUGUUAAUGUGCUUAAACGCAGCUAAGAUCUCUUCUGUUAACCUAGGACCUGGUCCCCACCUCACUCUGUUUGCAUUAUUGCAGAGGGUACUUGGGACUCUUAAUGUGCUCUAAUGCAACUAUGGUCCCUUUUGUUAGACUAGGAUCCCGUCCCUACCUACUCCCUUUGCAUUAUCAUGGAGCGGACACGGGACUGUUAAUGUGCUUAAAUGAAGCCAUGGUCCCUUAAGUUAGUGUAGGAUUCUAUCCUCUCCAACUGCCUAUGCAUUGCAGCAGAGGGUACUUGGGAUUUUAAAGGUGCUUAAAUGCAGCUAUAGCCCUUCUGUUAGGUGAUUUUCCCAUCCCCUCCUACUUCCUUUGCAUCAUUGCAAAGGUACUUGGGACUGUAAAUGUGCCUAAUUCCCACUGCAGUCCCUUCUGUUUGUUUAUAAUCCCAUCCUCUUCUAAACCAUUUGCAUUGUUACAGAAGGUACAAGGGACAAUUAAGUGUUUAAAUGUAACUACUAUCUCUUUUGUUAAUUUAGGAUCUUGUUCUCUUACUGAGUUCUCAUGACCACAGUAGGUACAAGGGACUGCUAAUUGUGCCUUAUUGCUGCUAUAGUCCCUUCUAUUUGUCUAGGAUCUUCUAACCUCCUACAGGGGUUGCAAUACCACAAAAAGUACAAAGGACUAUUAAUGUGCCUUAAAGGCAGCUGAGGUCUCUCCUGUUAACCUAGGAUUCCAUCUCCACCUAAUCCAUUUGCAUAAUUGUAGAGGGUACUUGGGACUGUUACUGUGCUUAAAUGCAGUUAUGAUCCCCUGUGUUAGUGUAGAAUUCCAUUCUAACACGCUAUGCAUUACAGCAGAGGGUACUUGGGACCUUUAAGGUGCUUAAAUACAGCUAUGGUGCCUUCUGAUAGUCUAGGAUCCCAUCCCCACCUAACUUCCUUUGCCUUACAGCAGAGGGUACUUGAGAUCUUUAAGAUGCUUAAAAGCAGCUGUGUCUCCUUCUGUUUAUGUUCCCAUCCUCUCCUGCUUUGCAUUACUGCAGAGGAUACUUGGGACUGUUAAUGUGCCUAAUUGCUGCUAUAAUCCCUUCUGUUUGUCUAGGAUCCCAUCCCCUCCUACAGGGUUUGCAUUACCACCGAGGGUGCAAGGGAUUAUUAGUAUGCUUAAAUGUAGUUAUGGUCCCUUCUGUUCGACUAGGAUUCCAUCCCCACCUAUUCCCUUUACAUGAUCAUGGUCGGCACAUGGGACUGUUAAUGUGCUUAAAUGCAGCUACAGCCCAUAUGUUAGUGUAGGGAUUUUAUACUCCCAACUCCCUAUGCAUUACAGCAGAGGGUAAUUGGGACCUUUAAUGUGCUAAAAUUCUGCUAUGGCGCUUUCUGUUAGUCUAGGAUCCCAUCCCCACCUAACUUACUUUGCAUUACAUAUAGGGUACUUGAGACCUUUAAAGUGCUUAAAUGCACCUCUGGCCCCUUCUGUUGAAGUUCCCAUCCUCUCCUACUUUGCAUUACUGCAGAGGAUACUUGGGACUGUUAGUGUGCCUAAUUGUUGCUACAAUCUCUUCUGUUAGUCUAGGAUCCCAUUCCAUUCCACACUGUUUGCAUUACCACAGACGGUACAGGGAUUGUUAAUGUGCUUAAUAUCUUUUCUGUUAAUCUAGGACCCGGUCCCCACCUAACUGCAUUGUUGCAGAGGGUACUUGGGACUUUAAAGGCGCUCAAAUUCAGCUAUGGCCCCUUCUGUUAAUGUUCCCAUCCUCUCUUACUUUGCAUUGCUGCAGAGGAUGCUAGGGAUUGUUAGUGUGCCUAAUUGCUGCUAUAAGUCCCUUCUGUUUGUCUAGGAUCCCAUCCCCUCUUACUUGCUUUGCAUUACUGCAGAGGGUACAGGGGACUGUAAAUAUGUUUAAAUUCAGCUCCCGUACCUUAUGUUCCUGUAGGAUUCCAUCCUUUUCAACUCCCUGUGCAUUACAGCAGGGGGUAGUUGGGAUCUUUAAGGUCCUUAAAAGGCAGCUAUGGUACCUUCUGUUAGUCUAGGAUCCAAUUCCCUCCUGCUUCUUUUGCAUUUCUGCAGAGGGUACUUGGGACUUAAUUAUAGCUACAAUCCCUCCUGUUAAUCUGGGAUCCCAUCCCCUUCUAUUCACUUUGCAUUAGCACAGCAGUGUGCAUUAGCACAGCAGUGUACCUGGGACUGUUAAUGUGCUUAAAUGCAGCUCUGUCCCUUAUGUUUGUAGGAUUCCAUCCUCUUCAACUCCCUAUGCAUUACAGCAGGGGGUACUUGGCACCUAAAAGUCCUUAAAUGUAGCUGUGGUGCCUUUUGUGGUCUAGGAUGCCAAUCCCCUUUUACUCCCUUUACAUUCUAUGACAGGACAUUUGGGACUGUGAAUGUGCUUAAUUGUGGUUACAAUCCUUUCUGUUAAUCUAGUUUCCCACGCCCUCUUACUUCCUUUGCAUCACAACAGAGGGUACUUCAGACCUCUAAGGUGUUUGAUUACAGCUAUGGUCCCUUCUGUUAGUCUAGGAUCUCCUAUCCUCUAACUCCCUUUAUAUUCCCUAGGAUUGUCUUUGGGACUGUUAAAAGGGCUUAGUUGCAACUGUGGUCCCUUUUCUUAGUCGAGGGUCCCAUCCCUUCCUACUCACUUUGCAUUACCUAGGAGUGGAUUUGGGACUACUAAAUUGUGCUCAUUUACAACUGUGGUCCCUUUUGUUAGUCUGCGGUCCUGUGUCUUCCAACUCCUACACACAGCACAGGCUACUUAGGACUGUUAAUGUGUUUAAUUUUGGAACCUGUGGUUCUGUUAGAGGAUCCUAGUAUUCUCCAACUCCCUUUGUAUUACAGCAGAGGGCGUUGGGACCGUUAAUAGACUUAACUGUAGCUAUGGUACCUUCUGUUAGCCUAGUAUCCCAGGCCCUCCAACUGCCUUUGUGUUAGCUGGGAGUGUAUUUGAGACUGUUGUAUCACUUAAUUGCAGCUGUUGUGUCUUCUAUUAGUAUAGUUUCCCAUGCCCUCCUAUUCAAUUUACAUUACAACAGAGGGUCCUUGGGACUGUUAAAAUGCUUAAUUGCUGCUCUUGUACCUUCUGUAAUUCCUAGGAUCCCAUCUCUUCCUACUUUCUUUACAUUACCCGGGAGGAUUUUUGGGAGUGUUAGAGGGGGCUGCACCACUAAAUUGAACAACUUGUUAGUAUAGUUUCCCAUGCCCUCCUGUUCUCUUUGGAUUACAACAGAUGGUACUUGGUGUUAGAAUAUUUAAUUGCAGGUAUGGUCCCAUCUGUUAGUCUAGGACCUCAUUCUCUUCUCCCUUUACAUUACUGGGAGAUUUGGGAAUGUUAACAUGUUUAAUUACAGUUGUUGUCCCUUCUGUCAGUCCAGUUUCCAGUCCCUUCCAACUCCCUUUGCAUUAUCAAGAACAGAUUUGGGACUGUAAUGUGCUCAUUUGCAGCUGUGCUCCCCUCUGUUAGUCUAGCAUCCCAUGCCCUCUAACUCCUUUUCCAUUACAGCAGAGGAUCUUUGGGACUUUUAAUGGGCUUAAUUGCAAUCCUAAUCCCUUUUAUUAACCUAGGAUCCCACAUCCUCCAGCUCACCUUGCAUUACCUAAGGAUGUAUUAGGGACUGUUUAAAUGCUCAGUUGGAGCUGUGGUCCCUUUUGUGUGUCUAUAAUUUCCCAUGCCCUCUUACUCUUCUGCAUUAUAGCAGUGGGUACUUGGGGAUGUUAAAGUACUUAAUUGCUGGUGUAGUAACUUUCAUUGGUUUAGGAUCCCAUCCCCUUCUACUCCCUUUACAUUACCUGGGAGGAUUUUUGAGACUGUUUAAGUGCUCAUUUGCAGCUAUGGUGCCCUCUGUUAGUCUAGGAUCCAAUGCCCUCUAACUCCCUUUGUAUUACAGCAGAUGGUACUUGGUAUUGUUAAUGUGCUUAAGUACAGGUGUGAUCCAUAUUGCUAGUCAUGACCACCUCCUCCCUUUAUAUUAGCUGGGAGCAGAUUUGGUACCGAAAUAUGCUUAAUCACAGCUGUGUUCCUUUCUGUUAGUUUAGGAUUCCUAUACCUCCAACUCUCUUUGUAUUAUAGCAGAGAGUACUUGGACCUGUCAAAUGCUCUGCUGCAGCUAUGGUACUUUCUGUCCUGUAGGAUAUCAUGCCCACCAGCUCCCUUUACAUUAUCUGGGGGUAUAUUUGGGACAGAUAAACUGCUUAAUUUUAGCCAUGGUUCCCUUGUUAGUAUAGUUUUCCAUGUACCUCUGUCUUUGCAUUAUAGCACAGAGUACUUGGAAUUGUUAAAGUGCUUAUUUACAGCUGUGGUCCCUUUUGUAAUUUAGGAUCCCAGGACUUCCCACCCCCUCUACAUUACCUGGGAAAGUAUUUGGGACUGUUAAGGUGUUAAUUGCAGCUGUGGUCCAGGAUCCCAUCCCCUCUACUUUUUGGGACUGUUAAAGGUCCCAUUUGCAGGUGUGGUCCUUUCCGCUGGUCUGGGAUUCCAUGCUCUUCAAAUUCAUUUGGAUUAUUACCCAGAGUACUUGGGACUAUGAAUGUGCUUAAAUGCAGGUUUGGUCCCCUUCUCUUAGUCUAGGAUCUCAUGCCUUCUAACUCCUUUUACAUUACUUGGGAAAGUACUUGGGACAGUUUUUGUGUUGAGUUACAACAGUGGUUCCUUUUUAAGUCUAUGAUCUCAUUCCAUCUCCCCCAACUCCCUUUGCAUUACCACAGAAGAUACUUGGGACUAUUAAAGGUGUAUCCCACUCACACCCUGUUAGUAUUAUGGUAAGGGAUGCUGAACACCAAGCCCCCCCCCUUUUGUGCAUUGUUAAAGUGCAUAAUUGCAUUUGUUCCUUUUUCUCUGCACUAGAUAAGAUUUCACUAAUUUCCCUUAUAUUCAGCAGUGGAUGCACUUUAUUUAAGACCUUUGUACUAGGAUAAAGUGAACCAUGGUAAUUGACCACACUGUGUCUUUCAUUUAAGUUCCUUGUACUCUCUUUGUAUUAAUUACCUCACUUUUUUCUGGAACUAUUUGUGUGCAAAAUCCUUCUCUUCAAAUUAAUUUCCCACUCUUUUUAUAUUACAUCAGAGAAUGCUGGUAUCUCAAAGUUCUUGUCUUGGGAUUCUUGAUGUGCAUAUGCCCUCUUGAUAAGCUAAUAUCCUUACUUCUUAGUACUAUACCAGAGGGUACUGACCACCUGAAGUCUUUCUGUUGGACAGUUAAUGUGCCCAAUUGCACUAGAAUCCCAGCCCCUUCACACCUUCUCCGUGUCAGGGGUGUUGACCAACUAUGACUGCUUUUCCUACACAGUUUAUUUUUUUUCCCUACACAGUUUAAAUGUGCAUAAUUAUGGUAAUCCAUGCUCCCUUAUGUUAGAAUAGGAUCUCAUCUCCUUGCCCCAUUUACAUUAUUGCAGGGGCUUUCGACUAGCCAAGAUUCACUCUCUUGAACUGUUAAUGUGCAUACUUACAUUUGCUCUUACCUGUGCACCAGGUAAGGAUCCUCCCCAUACUAUUGAUAUUCUAGCAGGAGGUGCCUACUACUCAAGAUUUUAUAUACUAAAACAGUUAAUGUGCACAACCUUCCUUGUCUUGUACAUAUUCAGUUGUCCAUAACUGUGCCUUUUAGUUCAGGACUUUGCACUUAUUGAAGCAGAGGUGACUGAUCACUUUAGAGCCUUUCUCUUGGGACUCUGGAUGUGUGUAGUUUCAGUUGUCCACUGUCCUUUGAGUUAACUUGGGUCCCUGACUCUUCACAGCCUCUAAGCUUUACUGCAUGGGAUACUGUCAAUUUAAGGCCCCUUUCUCAAACAGUUAAUGUGCAUGGUAACAGUUACAUUAGGAUUCUUCCCCUUUACACUGCCUUUGAAGUACUACAGAGAAUUCUGACCCAUAACGUCCCCAUUUCUUGGCCUGUUGAGGUGCAUGAUUGUAUUUGUCUGGAUUUCUGUGUACUAGAGAAGAACACCUCUCCAUACUCCCUUUAUUUAAUAUUAUGCAGGGAGUGGCCCCUCUACAAGGCUGUUACACACUUGAACAGUCAAGGAACACAACUGUAACUGACCACAGCUAUGCACCAUGGACAUUAAUGUGCCUAAUUGCACAUGGCUCCUUCCAUCGAAUAAGGUACUACUGUCUCAGACCCCUUUUAUAAUAAAGCAAGGAUACUGGUCACUAAGUCCUUUUUUCAUGGCUUGUGAUUAUGCCUGAUUGUAUUUGUACAUGGUCUUGUACACUAAAUAAGGACACCCUUCUCCCCACUCCCUUUACCUUUUAGCAGGGAGUGCCCGUUACUUUGAGUUCCUUAUAUUUGUACAAGGUACAUGGUUUUUUUUUUUUAAAUUUUCAUUUAUUUAUGAUAGUUACACACACACACACACACACACACACACACACACACACAGAGGCAGAGGCACAGGCAGAGGGAGAAGCAGGCUCCAUGCACCGGGAGCCCGAUGUGGGAUUCGAUCCUGGGUCUCCAGGAUCGCGCCCUGGGCCAAAGGCAGGCGCCAAACCGCUGCGCCACCCAGGGAUCCCAAGGUACAUGGUUUUAAUUAACCAUACCAUAUCCCUUGAGCAUUAAUGUACAUAAUUGGAGUUUAGUUCAUCCUACCCUGUUGUAUGUAUUUGCAAUAUACCAUGGUUGCUGGCCCCUCACUUUUCCUAUUAAUGUGCAUAAUUGUAUUUGUCUGGGUUUUUAUGCACUAGAUGGGGAGACAUCCCCCCACCCCUACUUCUAAGCCUUCCAGUAGGUGGUGCCCACUGCUAAGACAUUUACAUUUGGAUAGUUAAUGUGCAGAGUUUGUAGUUUUCCACAACCUUAUCACUUCCAGAACUCAUACCUCUUUGCACUGCUGCAGGGAAUACUAUUUUCUCCCAAAGUUCCUUCUAGCAAACUGCUAAAAUUCAUAAUUGAAAUUAUCUGUUGUCCUACAGCCUCACCUACCCUUUGCAGUACAGCAGAGUGUGUUGAUCAACUAAGGUCCUCUUUUGACAUUAAUAUGUGCCAUUGGAUUUUUUCCUGUUUUGUGCACUCAAUAAGGACCCUACCUACUUCUUAGCGUGUUCAGCAGGUAGUGUCCACUACUUAAGACUCUUUCACUUGAAAAGUUCAUGUGUAAAUGUAGUUUGCUAAGAACGCCUUAUGCUAGAACCCCUGUACCGUCUGAGUUGGAGUAAGGAGAUGCUAUUUACCUAAUGCCCUUUCUUUUGGACUUUAAUGUGUAUAAUUGCAAUUGUCUAUCUUUUCUAAUGGACUAGGAUUGCAUCCACUCAAACAACUUUUGCACCAGGGGUAUGUUAACCAUAAAUGAGCUCUUCUCAAGAUUAUUUAUAUACAUACUUGUAUUUGUUUGUGGAUCUGUGCAGUGUGAAAGGAUGUUCUAUGCCCCUACCACUGCCUUUGGAUUGUUGCUGAGGAGUGCUGUCAUGACCUCAGCUCUUGGACAGUUGAUAUGCACCACUAGCAAUGAUGGGACCUAUGUACCCCCUUUGUAUAUUUUAAGGGUACUAGGGCCCCUCUCUUUUGGGCUGUCAGUGGGCAAUUAUCUAUGUUCCCUUCUGUUAGAUUUAGAAUAAUGUUCCCUUAUACCCCCUUUGCAUUACUUCAGGGGUUGCUGACCACACAAAACUUCCCCUGGGAUUGUUAAUGGGCACAAUGGCAUUAGCAAUGGGUUUUUCCUUCCUGGCCUUAUUAGGCAAACACUCCCAUCUGCAUGGCAUGAUAGAGUAUAAACAUUGUAAUAUGCCGAGAACUUGUCUGUCAAAUAGCAACUCAUAUUCCCUCUCCUUUUGUAUUGCCCUAUGUAUAAAAUUCCAAAUAAGUCAUGGUCUUCCCUUUAUCUUCCCUUUUCCCCACGCUCACGCUUGGACACUUCUUAUGGACUAUUCUCACAGUUUCAAGUGUUCAUGUAUUCAGCCAUGAAAUAAGAUUGUCCCCCCCCCCCAACCCCCUGCCCCUUUUGCAUUAUUGCUGGGGAAUGUUUACUGGGUAGGGCCCUUCUCUUGGACUUAAAACAUUAACAAUCCCUGCUGUCAUUGCCUUACCCACUUUAUAUUGCUGUAAUGCCUCAGUUGUACCUUCCUUGGUCCCAGCCAUCAGACAUGGACCCCUCCAUUUCUUUGCAUUACUUCUGAGUAGUGCUGACUACCCAAAGUCCUUCUGUGUUAUUAACACAGUGCUGAUUAUCACAUUUUUCAUCUCAUCAGCCCAAGAUUUUCCUACCACUUUGAUGUUAUGUGCAGCAUUGACUACCGAAAGCAGACCUGAAUUAGGUGGAUGGGCCUUCACUCCUUUUUCUGCAUUUGUUAAUGAUCCCGAUUCCAGUUGUCACAUUCUGGGACAGGAACUGUCCCUGCCCACCUCUGUUACUACUUUACUGAGCAAAAUGCUCAAGGCAAGUCAGGCCUAGAAAGGUGGAUUGCCACUCUUUAUUUUGGAUUUUCAAUAUAAGUAUCAGUUGAAAAUUGUCUACCCAGGAAGAAAGGUUAGCACCAUCUGUGCAUUCUUCCUUCCAGAGCAGAUUGCCUGGCCAAGAAUCUCUCUUCUCCUCUUGUAUAUUGCUAUUUUACAGUGCCUGUUGCCAGGUACAAUAAAAUGCUGUUUGCAAGAUGGAAUUGUAAACCUGGUCAUUUAAUUUUCGAAGUCCAAAAACCCAUUUAUACCGUGUACCUGAUGACUAGUGUCUCAUUUUACUGAGGGUGGUGGGUCUGUGGAUACACACUGUGAAUAUUCCCAAGAGUUCUAGAGUAGAACUCUUAAGACAUAUAUCUUUAGGCUCUACCACCACUUAAAAAUCAUUAUUUGGGCUUUACCACCAUUCGCUUUUAGAAAAACUACCUAAACUUUCUAAUCCUUAAAUUUCUUCAUCUGGAGCAUCAACCUCCCCCCCCUCACUUAUUUCAAGAAGAUUGCUGUAAAAGAAUGAAAUGAGAGAACAUAUGCUGAGGCACUUUUGAAAACCAUAGUUCACCUUGAUUAAUGUAUUACAUAAAUAAAAUGUAUCUUGUUUAAUUCUGCUAAUUUAAAGUAGCCGUAGCACUACACUGAAGCGAGUACUUAGAAAUGAUGGGACCAAUUUCCCUGUUAUGUAUUAAAGGAAAAAUAAGCCAAGAUCUAAUCAUUCUUCUGGACAUAAAUUUCAACAGUGAGAUAGCUUCCUGGUAAAAUGAAUAAUAUCCUAGCCUCUAGUGUGCAGGGUGUGGCAGAGAAGUGUCUAAUAUGGAACUGCUGAAGCAAAUAACUAGUUAUCACAACAGCAGUUCUUUGUAAUCACUGAAAAAGAAUACUAUUCCUCUGACAAGGAUGUCAAAAGAUCCGCCCAGCUCAGCGUUGCAGUAUGCACUACUAGCUCCUUGGACAGCUGUGAGAAGAGUCUCUGGCUGUUUAGAAUACUGGAUGAAUUCUGAGCUGGUUCUGUACCCCCAUUCAAGAGGAAGGAUGGAUCAAUUUUAAGUGGAUUGAAGCCUGCACUAGACAGCAUCAUCCAAAGAUGUUCCUCAGAAGAAUAGGCUUGUUGCUCUACAGUGUUAGUGACCGGUUCCCUUUGACGAUCCCUAGGUGGAGAUGGGGCAUGAGGAUCCUCCAGGGGAAAAGCUCACUACCACUAGGCAACAACCCUAGGCCAGGAGGUUCUACUACCCAGAUUUUUCCUUGGGCCCAGGGAGGAAGAUGAAGUCUCAAAACAACCACCACACAUUAGAGGAGAGCAUGGGCAGUAACUGCCAUGUCUGUGACAUUGAUCAUGGUUAGAUUGUCAUUUUGGAUCCUUUGGUCCCCAAAGUCCUUCUUGAGGCCCCGUUGGAGAAUUUUGACAAUCGUUUACAUACUUCAAGAUACCUUAGGAUGUCUUUGGGAUAAAACAUGAAACAAGCUGUUAGAGAAGAUAAAUAGGAGUUAUAUCAUUUCUGCUGUACUUGGUGAUUGAUGGAGCCUGACCAGAAAUGACAUAAAGUUUCUAUUGUCAGCUCCUGAUUGUUCCCUUUUUAUCUACCAAAUCAUUGUCUCCCAAAAGCAGUGCAGAGGGCAAGAAAGUGGAACAUAUCAAAGGAAGAUCAACAUGCCUGGCAUGCUAGCAUUUUAGAACAUCAGAAUGAAUGUGUAUUUCUUUGCUUGUCUAUUUCUUUUUUAAAUCUCUUUGGUUGUCCUUCUAUCUAAAGUGUGUCUUAGCCAUUCCUUGAUUAUUUUGUUAGUUUCGUCUAUGUGUAUCUUUGUCUCCUUUUGUUUUUUGUUCCUAAGAGUGGUCUGUGCCUUGUCUUAGAUGUCUCUCUCUAGUUUUUUCAUUUUGUUUCUGAUUCUUUCUGCUCUCCUAGAUCUGGCUCUUCUUUCACUGUUCUUCCCUUCGUGUCUCUGUCACAUGCUGUGUCCUUUUUGUUUAUUUCUUGUUCUGCCUAUACCUCUCUUCUCUUACUGUUGUGAACUCUGAUUGUCUUCCCUUCCUCUUCAUGUUGGUUUGACAUUUCACCUUUCCCUUAUUCUGGGCUUCCCUUUCUGCUUUUUCUACUCAUUGUCUCACAUUUCUCUUUUAUAUGUAUUUUUUUCUGCCUCUCUUGGGGGCAGUUUUCUCUCUUUUCUCCUGAUCAGUGUUUCUUUGUUCUUUGUAACUUUCCAUUUCAGCAUUCAUCUCUGUUCUCUUCUUUCUUCUCUGCUUUCCCCCUUCUGCUUACCUUUGAGUAUUUCAGCCUUUUUAUGUGUCUGUGUUUACCCCCUUUGGCUUUAUGGAGUCCCCUCAAGUCCUUGCAUAUUUUGUGCAUUUCUAUGGUCACAUGUGUGUGUUUGUGACAGAGGGGUUUCCUAACCCCUUCCCAAUAGGAACUGAGUGCCAGCUAUCAAAAUAAGCAUUGCAGAGCUGUUCAUUAUGCCAGGACACCCUAUGAGAUGAUUUAAGAACUAUGAUGGACAGAAAGUGGAAGGCCCAUAAUGGAUAGAAGGCCCAACGUAAAAUAAAGAUGGUUUGAGACUUGUGACUUGAAGACAAGCAUGGAAAACCUGUGAUUCAAGAUAGAUGGAAUCCUCAGGCUUGAGACCAUCAUGUCCCUGGCAGCUAUGAUUUAAAACGGUGGCCCUUGUUGGAUAGAAGACCUGUCUGAGUUGGAUGGAAAGUUCAAAUCUUGAGUUAAAUAUGAGUUCAAAGACCCAGAGUGGGAGACUGAAGGCUUAAGCAUGGGGACUAAUGGAAUGUCUGAGACCUAAGACACAAGGUCUAAGUGAGAUAAAAACCUAAGAUCCAAGGAUGGAAGGCCCCAGAGGACUCCUGCCUUUCUAGAUGGACAGAAGGCUGAAGAGAAAGAUAUAUCAAGACUAAUCAGGUGGGCAGCUAGAAGCCCAUGACACAGAAUCCGGGAAGGAAAGAAGCCCCAAGACCAGAGGAAAUCCCAAGAUGAGAACACAAAACACCAGCUUUUUUCUAUUCCUGUCCUCCCUACUCAUGGACAUUUUCAGUUCUCCCUUUCCAGUUCUUACAUUUUCACAUAAACCCACUUCUUGUGAGAAGCCCUUUUUGAUGUUGCUAUUGCCUUCAGGAGCCAUAUCUUGAGAUUGGCAAUAUUAUGCUUGGGCCAGUCUUAAGCCAAUUUUUAUCACAGUUUUGAGCCAUUGAUUAAGUGUUUAUUUUUUAAAUUUCCAUUUCUCUUCAUCUCUACUUCUUGAGAGAGACAUAUAGGUAACAUUGUAUUUCAGUUCUCCCUUUUCCUUAGAAGCUCUAGGCUGAUAAGCAAAGGCAAGCGUCAGGCUGUUGGGGGAAAAAAAGUGCCAGGCUAUCUAGAGAAAAUGUGAAGAGAUGUUCCAGGCCAAUGAGAAGAAUUAGACAAGGAAUACCCAGAUGUGCCAGCCUGUUGAGAAGCACCAGCCUGCAACACCUUUCUUCUUUGCUCUUGGUUUCUGGCAUCCUAAGACUACCCCUACUGAUAAGGAUAAGAACAUGCUGUCAUCUGAUUUUUAUGGCAUAAAUGAAAUUGAACAAAACGGUUUUUUAAAGGAAAUUGCUUCGUCUUUACCUUUGUACCUAAAAGGGAAUAUAUGCCAAAUACUUCGAUAAGUGGGAAGAUAUACUUGGACUUAUGAACUGAUGUGAAAUGCAGAACCUUUGAGCUUUAAGUGUUUUGAAGAUUGAAAAAUCUUGCUCAGCAUCAGUGACCACAAAAACAAUCUAAAGCCAUCUACAUGUCACAACUGAAACAAAUUGCGGAAUGUGUUUUCUAAUGUCAAAUAAAAUGUACUGUUUUGAAAAUUUUGUAUUUUGA